rnacentral:rRNA from 1 species
AACGAACGCUGGCGGCAGGCUUAACACAUGCAAGUCGAGCGCCACGCAAGGGGAGCGGCAGACGGGUGAGUAACGCGUGGGAAUCUACCCAUCUCUACGGAAUAACGCAUGGAAACGUGUGCUAAUACCGUAUACGUCCUUCGGGCGAAAGAUUUAUCGGAGAUGGAUGAGCCCGCGUUGGAUUAACUAGUUGGUGGGGUAAAGGCCUACCAAGGCGACGAUCCAUAGCCGGUCGGGGAGGAUGAUCAGACACACUGGGGCUGAGACACGGCCCAGACUCCUACGGGAGGCAGCAGUGGGGAAUAUUGGACAAUGGGCGCAAGCCUGAUCCAGCCAUGCCGCGUGAGUGAUGAAGGCCCUAGGGUUGUAAAGCUCUUUCACCGGUGAAGAUAAUGACGGUAACCGGAGAAGAAGCCCCGGCUAACUUCGUGCCAGCCGCCGCAGUAACAC